UACGUAGGGGGCAAGCGUUGUCCGGAUUUAUUGGGCGUAAAGAGCGUGUAGGCGGCUUUGCAAGUCCGUUGUGAAAACUCGAGGCUCAACCUCGAGACGCCGGUGGAAACUGCAAAGCUAGAGUCCGGAAGAGGAGAGUGGAAUUCCUGGUGUAGCGGUGAAAUGCGCAGAUAUCAGGAAGAACAUCCGUGGCGAAGGCGGCUCUCUGGGACGGUACUGACGCUGAGACGCGAAAGCGUGGGGAGCAAACAGG
rnacentral:rRNA from 1 species